CGCGCGCCUUCGCCGAAUCCCGUGGACACCAGAGGGAACCGGGGAACCACCAACCCGUGGGGUGCAUCGGACGGUCCUCGGGCCGGCCCGUAGGAGACCUUCCUCCUCCGAACCCGUCAGCUAACCCGGUAGGCGAGAAGGAAGGAAAGG
rnacentral:sRNA from 2 species